GUGACGGUAUCUCAAUUGGUAGAGUAGUGGGACUGUACCUCACGUUCCAGGUUUAAGUCCUGACCGCUGCC